UUAAGCGACUAAGCGUACACGGUGGAUGCCCUGGCAGUCAGAGGCGAUGAAGGACGUGCUAAUCUGCGAAAAGCGCCGGCGAGGUGAUAUGAACCCUUGACCCGGCGAUGUCCGAAUGGGGAAACCCAGUGCAAUUCGUUGCACUAUCGUUAACUGAAUACAUAGGUUAACGAGGCGAACCGGGGGAACUGAAACAUCUAAGUACCCCGAGGAAAAGAAAUCAACCGAGAUUCCCCCAGUAGCGGCGAGCGAACGGGGAGCAGCCCGGAGUCUGAAUCAGCUUGUGUGUUAGUGGAACGGUCUGGAAAGUCCGACGGUACAGGGUGAUAGUCCCGUACACGAAAGCACACUUGCUGUGAACUCGAAGAGUAGGGCGGGACACGUGGUAUCCUGUCUGAAUAUGGGGGGACCAUCCUCCAAGGCUAAAUACUCCUGACUGACCGAUAGUGAACCAGUACCGUGAGGGAAAGGCGAAAAGAACCCCGGCGAGGGGAGUGAAAAAGAACCUGAAACCGUGUACGUACAAGCAGUGGGAGCCUCUUUAUGGGGUGACUGCGUACCUUUUGUAUAAUGGGUCAGCGACUUAUAUUCUGUAGCAAGGUUAACCGUAUAGGGGAGCCGAAGGGAAACCGAGUCUUAACUGGGCGUUAAGUUGCAGGGUAUAGACCCGAAACCCGGUGAUCUAGCCAUGGGCAGGUUGAAGGUUGGGUAACACUAACUGGAGGACCGAACCGACUAAUGUUGAAAAAUUAGCGGAUGACCUGUGGCUGGGGGUGAAAGGCCAAUCAAACCGGGAGAUAGCUGGUUCUCCCCGAAAGCUAUUUAGGUAGCGCCUCGUGAACUCAUCUUCGGGGGUAGAGCACUGUUUCGGCUAGGGGGCCAUCCCGGCUUACCAACCCGAUGCAAACUACGAAUACCGAAGAAUGUUAUCACGGGAGACACACGGCGGGUGCUAACGUCCGUCGUGAAGAGGGAAACAACCCAGACCGCCAGCUAAGGUCCCAAAGUCAUGGUUAAGUGGGAAACGAUGUGGGAAGGCACAGACAGCCAGGAUGUUGGCUUAGAAGCAGCCAUCAUUUAAAGAAAGCGUAAUAGCUCACUGGUCGAGUCGGCCUGCGCGGAAGAUGUAACGGGGCUAAACCAUGCACCGAAGCUGCGGCAGCGACACUAUGUGUUGUUGGGUAGGGGAGCGUUCUGUAAGCCGUUGAAGGUGUGCUGUGAGGCAUGCUGGAGGUAUCAGAAGUGCGAAUGCUGACAUAAGUAACGAUAAAGCGGGUGAAAAGCCCGCUCGCCGGAAGACCAAGGGUUCCUGUCCAACGUUAAUCGGGGCAGGGUGAGUCGACCCCUAAGGCGAGGCCGAAAGGCGUAGUCGAUGGGAAACAGGUUAAUAUUCCUGUACUUGGUGUUACUGCGAAGGGGGGACGGAGAAGGCUAUGUCAGCCGGGCGACGGUUGUCCCGGUUUAAGCAUGUAGGCGGAGGUUCCAGGUAAAUCCGGUACCUUUUAACGCUGAGGUGUGAUGACGAGGCACUACGGUGCUGAAGUGAUAAAUGCCCUGCUUCCAGGAAAAGCCUCUAAGCAUCAGGUAACACGAAAUCGUACCCCAAACCGACACAGGUGGUCAGGUAGAGAAUACCAAGGCGCUUGAGAGAACUCGGGUGAAGGAACUAGGCAAAAUGGUGCCGUAACUUCGGGAGAAGGCACGCUGAUAUGUAGGUGAAGCCCCUGCGGGUGGAGCUGAAAUCAGUCGAAGAUACCAGCUGGCUGCAACUGUUUAUUAAAAACACAGCACUGUGCAAACACGAAAGUGGACGUAUACGGUGUGACGCCUGCCCGGUGCCGGAAGGUUAAUUGAUGGGGUUAGCGGCAACGCGAAGCUCUUGAUCGAAGCCCCGGUAAACGGCGGCCGUAACUAUAACGGUCCUAAGGUAGCGAAAUUCCUUGUCGGGUAAGUUCCGACCUGCACGAAUGGCGUAAUGAUGGCCAGGCUGUCUCCACCCGAGACUCAGUGAAAUUGAACUCGCUGUGAAGAUGCAGUGUACCCGCGGCAAGACGGAAAGACCCCGUGAACCUUUACUAUAGCUUGACACUGAACACUGGUCCUUGAUGUGUAGGAUAGGUGGGAGGCUUUGAAGCGUGGACGCCAGUCUGCGUGGAGCCAACCUUGAAAUACCACCCUUUAAUGGCUGGUGUUCUAACGUAGACCCGUAAUCCGGGUUGCGGACAGUGUCUGGUGGGUAGUUUGACUGGGGCGGUCUCCUCCCAAAGAGUAACGGAGGAGCACGAAGGUUGGCUAAUCCUGGUCGGACAUCAGGAGGUUAGUGCAAUGGCAUAAGCCAGCUUGACUGCGAGCGUGACGGCGCGAGCAGGUGCGAAAGCAGGUCAUAGUGAUCCGGUGGUUCUGAAUGGAAGGGCCAUCGCUCAACGGAUAAAAGGUACUCCGGGGAUAACAGGCUGAUACCGCCCAAGAGUUCAUAUCGACGGCGGUGUUUGGCACCUCGAUGUCGGCUCAUCACAUCCUGGGGCUGAAGUAGGUCCCAAGGGUAUGGCUGUUCGCCAUUUAAAGUGGUACGCGAGCUGGGUUUAGAACGUCGUGAGACAGUUCGGUCCCUAUCUGCCGUGGGCGCUGGAGAAUUGAGGGGGGCUGCUCCUAGUACGAGAGGACCGGAGUGGACGCAUCACUGGUGUUCGGGUUGUCAUGCCAAUGGCACUGCCCGGUAGCUAAAUGCGGAAGAGAUAAGUGCUGAAAGCAUCUAAGCACGAAACUUGCCCCGAGAUGAGUUCUCCCUGAGAC
rnacentral:rRNA from 2 species